AACGAACGCUGGCGGCAUGCCUAACACAUGCAAGUCGAACGAGACCUUCGGGUCUAGUGGCGCACGGGUGCGUAACGCGUGGGAACCUGCCCUUAGGUUCGGAAUAACUCCCCGAAAGGGGUGCUAAUACCGGAUAAUGUCUUCGGACCAAAGAUUUAUCGCCUUUGGCUGGGCCCGCGUUGGAUUAGCUAGUUGGUAGGGUAAAAGCCUACCAAGGCGACGAUCCAUAGCUGGUCUGAGAGGAUGAUCAGCCACACUGGGACUGAGACACGGACCAGACUCCUACGGGAGGCAGCAGUGGGGAAUAGUGGACAAUGGGCGAAAGCCUGAUCCAGCAAUGCCGCGUGAGUGAUGAAGGCCUUAGGGUUGUAAAGCUCUUUUACCCGGGAUGAUAAUGACAGUACCGGGAGAAUAAGCUCCGGCUAACUCCGUG
rnacentral:rRNA from 1 species